rnacentral:rRNA from 1 species
GCGGAGAAGAGAAAGGAAAUUGGCGAGGAGGUGGCUCGGCUUCUGGCCGCUGAGUUCAUCCGCGAGAUAUACCACUCCGAGUGGCUCGCCAAUGUCGUUAUGGUUCCCAAGAAAGAUAAAUCACUUCGAAUGUGUAUUGACUUCAAGCACAUCAAUCGGGCCUGCCCGAAAGAUCAUUUUCCUCUGCCCCGCACCGACCAGUUGGUCGACUCAACUGUGGAAUGUGAACGACUGUCCUUUCUGGACGCUUAUUCCUGGUACCAUCAGAUCCGACUGUAUGGACCCGAUGAGAUAAAGACAACUUUCAUCACCCCGCUCGGGUGUUUUUGC